rnacentral:rRNA from 1 species
UACGUAGGGUGCGAGCGUUGUCCGGAAUUAUUGGGCGUAAAGAGCUCGUAGGCGGUUUGUCGCGUCGGAUGUGAAAGCCCGGGGCUUAACUCCGGGUCUGCAUUCGAUACGGGCAGGCUAGAGGUUCGGUAGGGGAGAUCGGAAUUCCUGGUGUAGCGGUGGAAUGCGCAGAGUAUCAGGAGGAACACCGAUGGCGAAGGCAGAUCUCUGGGCCGUGAACUGACGCUGAGGAGCGAAAGCGUGGGGAGCGAACAGG